CUUGACAGGGCGGUGCUCUGACCUAUUGAACUACAAUCCC
rnacentral:tRNA from 1 species